rnacentral:misc_RNA from 1 species
CAACCCUCAGGGCCCGCCUGCUUGUCAGGCGCGGCGCUGGUGUUGGGGAUCGGCUUCGUUGCCGUCCCCCAAAUACAGUGGCGGUCUCGCUGCAGCCUCCCCUGCGUAGUAGCAACACUCGCAUGCGGAGCGCGGCGCGGCCACGCCGUAAAACCCCCGACUUUCUGAA